GAAGAAAUGACGACAAGUUUACAUAUAAGUUACCCAUCCUGGAGCAUCAGUAAUGAGCGAGAGCCGGCAGAAUCCGAGAACCAAGUGUUGAAUGGCAACUUGGAGGCCAAAGGCAGCAGAUGACAUCUGAAAGUUUCCCCACUGUUUACAGGCUGAAGCAGCAAUUAAGCAGUCUCUGUGACUAGAAUGUGAAAAUGUGUUUCUAUUAAGUCUAUCUUUACAUAGCGUUUCUAUUAAGUAUCUUUAAUUAAAAUCCUGCCACUAUACAAAGGGAUCCAGUUUCAUUCUUUGAUAGUUCCAAUUAUGACCUUGAAUAGUAAAUUCAUAAUUCUACCAUCUUAUUAACACAUCAAUUAUUUUGGUAUUAUAACAUUGGUGUGCCUCCCUCAGAGGCUCUGACAGUAAUGUGUUAUUUAGGCUGCCUUCAUGUCUUUUCUAUAUACAGAUGACUUUUAAGUGAACAUGAUCCAUCUUUGAAAUACCAGACAUGCCUCUUCACACAUUG